rnacentral:rRNA from 1 species
UAGGGAAUCUUCGGCAAUGGACGGAAGUCUGACCGAGCAACGCCGCGUGAGUGAAGAAGGUUUUCGGAUCGUAAAGCUCUGUUGUAAGAGAAGAACGAGUGUGAGAGUGGAAAGUUCACACUGUGACGGUAUCUUACCAGAAAGGGACGGCUAACUACGUGCCAGCAGCCGCGGUAAUACGUAGGUCCCGAGCGUUGUCCGGAUUUAUUGGGCGUAAAGCGAGCGCAGGCGGUUAGAUAAGUCUGAAGUUAAAGGCUGUGGCUUAACCAUAGUACGCUUUGGAAACUGUUUAACUUGAGUGCAAGAGGGGAGAGUGGAAUUCCAUGUGUAGCGGUGAAAUGCGUAGAUAUGUGGAGGAACACCGGUGGCGAAAGCGGCUCUCUGGCUUGUAACUGACGCUGAGGCUCGAAAGCGUGGGGAGCAAACAGGAUUAGAUACCCUGGUAGUCCACGCCGUAAACGAUGAGUGCUAGGUGUUAGACCCUUUCCGGGGUUUAGUGCCGCAGCUAACGCAUUAAGCACUCCGCCUGGGGAGUACGACCGCAAGGUUGA